rnacentral:rRNA from 1 species
AUUGAACGCUGGCGGCAGGCCUAACACAUGCAAGUCGAACGGUAACAGGAAGAAGCUUGCUUCUUUGCUGACGAGUGGCGGACGGGUGAGUAAUGUCUGGGAAACUGCCUGAUGGAGGGGGAUAACUACUGGAAACGGUAGCUAAUACCGCAUAAUGUCGCAAGACCAAAGAGGGGGACCUUCGGGCCUCUUGCCAUCGGAUGUGCCCAGAUGGGAUUAGCUAGUAGGUGGGGUAACGGCUCACCUAGGCGACGAUCCCUAGCUGGUCUGAGAGGAUGACCAGCCACACUGCAACUGAGACACGGUCCAGACUCCUACGGGAGGCAGCAGUGGGGAAUAUUGCACAAUGGGCGCAAGCCUGAUGCAGCUAUGCCGCGUGUAUGAAGAAGGCCUUCGGGUUGUAAAGUACUUUCAGCGGGGAGGAAGGGAGUAAAGUUAAUACCUUUGCUCAUUGACGUUACCCGCAGAAGAAGCACCGGCUAACUCCGUG